rnacentral:rRNA from 1 species
GAUGAACGCUGGCGGCGUGCCUAAUACAUGCAAGUCGAGCGAAUGGAUUAAGAGCUUGCUCUUAUGAAGUUAGCGGCGGACGGGUGAGUAACACGUGGGUAACCUGCCCAUAAGACUGGGAUAACUCCGGGAAACCGGGGCUAAUACCGGAUAACAUUUUGAGCCGCAUGGUUCGAAAUUGAAAGGCGGCUUCGGCUGUCACUUAUGGAUGGACCCGCGUCGCAUUAGCUAGUUGGUGAGGUAACGGCUCACCAAGGCAACGAUGCGUAGCCGACCUGAGAGGGUGAUCGGCCACACUGGGACUGAGACACGGCCCAGACUCCUACGGGAGGCAGCAGUAGGGAAUCUUCCGCAAUGGACGAAAGUCUGACGGAGCAACGCCGCGUGAGUGAUGAAGGCUUUCGGGUCGUAAAACUCUGUUGUUAGGGGAGAACAAGUGCUAGUUGAAUAAGCUGGCACCUUGACGGUACCUAACCAGAAAGCCACGGCCAACUACGUGCCAGCCGCCGCGGUAA